CCUACGGGUGGCAGCAGUGAGGAAUAUUGGUCAAUGGGCGGAAGCCUGAACCAGCCAAGUAGCGUGCAGGAUGACGGCCCUACGGGUUGUAAACUGCUUUUAUACGGGAAUAACGCGCCUUACGUGUACGGCUUUGCAUGUACCGUAUGAAUAAGGACCGGCUAAUUCCGUGCCAGAAGCCGCGGUAAUACGGAAGGUCCGGGCGUUAUCCGGAUUUAUUGGGUUGAAGGGGAGCGUAGGCCGGAGGUCAAGCGAGCUGUGAAAUGUCCGGGCUCAACCGGGGACUUGCAGUGCAAACUGGCGUGCUGGAGUCCGCGGAAGGCAGGCGGAAUGCGGCGUGUAGCGGUGAAAUGCUUAGAUAUGACGAAGAACCCCGAUUGCGAAGGCAGCUUGCUGCAGCGGAACUGACGCUGAUGCUCGAAAGCGCGGGUAUCGAACAGGAUUAGAUACCCCUGUAGUC
rnacentral:rRNA from 1 species